UAUUGUGUAGUUAGGGCCAUGUACAAAUCCAAAGUUAGAAUAGCAAAGUUUUUAUUGUCUGAGGUAACCAGUGUUCGUACUUUUGUCAGCAGACGUCAGCUUUUUUCGAAGUCCUGAAGAUUGUUCAAAUGUUACCCCCGAUAAAUGUGACAAACUGAUUUUUUUUUUCAGGGCAAAGGAACCAGGGACAAGACGCUGAUCAGGAUCAUGGUUUCUCGCAGCGAAAUCGAUAUGCUGAAAAUUAAGAGCGAGUUCAAGAGAAAAUAUGGAAAGUCCCUCUAUUACUUCAUCCAGCAAGACACAAAGGGGGAUUACCAGUAGGCGCUCUUGAACCUCUGCGGAGAUGACUGAAAACUGCAAUGGAGAAGACCCGUCCUUGCCCAGAUCUGUGUUUUCUGCUUCCCUUCUCCUCCUGCCACUCUAGCCCCAUCGAUGCACUAACCUCUUCUGUCUCUGUAUUUGCAAGACUCAAUAAUGUGGGUUGCUUUUGUGUAGUCCCCUAACUCGGCCCUGUGCGGCUUUUAACUCAAGUAGCUAACCUAAGCAGCAGCAGUAACGAGGCUGGAGAAGUUAACAUUCCACAGAGAGAGAGAGCAGCGAACCUGUGCUGUGAAAUAUUCUGCUUCUGUAUAUUAUGUACCUGUCAAAAGUACAAAUAAAGUGGAAUUGUUACUUUGA